rnacentral:rRNA from 1 species
GUUUAUUGAAGAAUCAUUUCGUUUUUGUAUAUUUGUGAUUUAAUUUUUUGUGCUAUAGAUUAUUUGUACCGUAUGGGGUUGUUUCGUUAAUGUUUUUUUAGAAGCUGAUUUUGUUUGUUGUACCUUGUGUAUCAGGGUUCAUUGAAUUUUAUUAUUUAUUUUUAUUUCCCGAUUAUGAAGGAGUUAAUGGUUUAUGUUAGUUAUUGUUUCAUCAUUAUUAAUAAUAAGCUAUUGGUAGUGAAAUGUUAUUCGUCUUUAGUGGUUUCUGGUUUUUCAAGAAAUGAAUUUAAUUCAGGUACCUUAUUUAAUUUUUAUUUUUAUUUAUUUUAUUUUUAUUUGGUGUUAAGAUUAAGGGGGAUUAGCUCCUUAUUUAAUUUUUAUAAUUUUUGUUUUUAAUUAGUUUUGUGGAUUUUAUGGUGAUUUUCAAUUUGAUUAUGUUAAAAUUUUAUUUAUUCUUUUGUUUAUUUGGAUUGUUAUUUAAUUUGUUUAUUGAAAUGUUUUCUUUACUUAUUUGUCUGGAUGGUAAUUAUUGUGUAAUUAGUAAAUUUUGUUUUAUGUUGUUUGGUUAGAGUUGUUAAAUUCUUUUGAGGAAUUCGGCAAACAUUUCAUGUCCGCCUGUUUAACAAAAACAUCUUUUCUUGUUAGUUUUUGAAGUAUGGCCUGCCCACUGACGAUUUAUGUUGAAGGGCCGCGGUAUUUUGACCGUGCAAAGGUAGCAUAAUCAUUAGUUCUUUAAUUGUGAUCUGGUAUGAAUGGCUUGACGAGACAUGAGCUGUCUUAAUAUUUGAAUAUUUGAUUGAAUUUGGUCUUUGAGUUAAAAUUCUUAAAUGUUUUUAUGGGACGAGAAGACCCUAUAGAGUUUAACAUUUAAUUUGCUUUCUGUUGUUUUAGUUUGUUUUGUUUUUAAGUAAUUUAGGUGUUUUGUUGGGGUGAUGGGAGGAAUUUAUUUAACUCCUCUUUAUUUUGUAUAUUUAUUUGUAUUUUUUUGAUCCAAUUAUUUUGAUUAUAAGAUUAAAUUACCUUAGGGAUAACAGCGUUAUCUCCCUUGAGAGUUCUUAUUGGCGGGGAGGUUUGCGACCUCGAUGUUGGAUUAAGGUUAAUUUUUGGUGUAGGAGCUGAAAGUGAUUGGGUCUGUUCGACCUUUAAAAUCUUACAUGAUCUGAGUUCAGACCGGCGUGAGCCAGGUUGGUUUCUAUCUAUAAUAUUUUUUAUAUCUUAGUACGAGAGGACCGGGUAUUUGGAAUAAUUUUAUUUUGGUGAUUAUU